rnacentral:rRNA from 1 species
GAUGAUACGCGAGGAACCUUACCUGGACUAGAAUGUGAGGGAAUGAUUUAGAAAUAGGUCAGUCAGCAAUGACCCGAAACAAGGUGCUGCAUGGCUGUCGUCAGUUCGUGCCGUGAGGUGUUGGGUUAAGUCCCGCAACGAACGCAACCCCUGUUGUCUGUUGCCAGCGAGUUAAGUCGGGGACUCAGACAAGACUGCCUACGCAAGUAGAGAGGAAGGAGGGGACGACGUCAAGUCAUCAUGGCCCUUACGUCCAGGGCAACACACGUGCUACAAUGGGCGAUACAGAGUGUUGCGAGCUAGUAAUAGUAAGCCAAUCACAAAAAGUCGUUCACAGUUCGGAUUGAGGUCUGCAACUCGACCUCAUGAAGCUGGAAUCGCUAGUAAUCGAAUAUCAGCUAUGAUUCGGUGAAUACGUUCCCGGACCUUGUACACACCGCCCGUCAAGCCAUGGAAGUUGGGUAGACCUGAAGCGGAAGGUAAAAGAUUUCGUUAGGGUAGAAUCAGUAACUAGGGCUAAGUCGUAACAAGGUAACCGU